CCUAAAGCAACGUUUUUGCAGUCCUGGCUACCCAGCCCUUUCCGAGGUCCGAGGACCCAGAAACCACCCCUAACUCUGGACCUUCAACCCAGAAAGUCCGGAUGGGACAUGCAGCAAGACCGGGGCGCUUCUUCGGAGUCUACCUGCUCUACUGUCAGAACCCUCGGCAUCGGGGCCGUGUUUACGUGGGAUUCACUGUCAAUCCUGCUCGUCGGGUCCGGCAACACAACGCGGGUCGCAAAAAAGGUGGCGCCUGGCGGACCAGCGGGCGAGGACCCUGGGCCGUGCUGAGUUCCUGGCCUGUCACUAGGGCAAGCGUAUAGCGGGGAGGUGGCACCUUGUGGAUAUCAACACUGCGACGACUGGAUUAAAACUUGUGAUGCUUAAUUGGGU
rnacentral:lncRNA from 1 species